UUAUGAAUUAGAGAUAUUCUUGCAAUUCUGUUUUCUGAGAGUGGAUUUCCUUUUCUUCCAGAUUGAGGAGUUGUCCCAACAAGCUCAGCUGGCAGCAGCAGAGAAGUUCAAGGUCCAGGGAGAAGACAGAACGUCCAGCAUCCAGGAGAACACACAGAAGCCCACAGUAUACAAGAGGAGAGCAGAGAGGAAGAGGUUGAUGAGACAGCCGUGAAGGACAUUGAACUGGUGAUGUCACAAGCCAAUGUGUCUCGACUGAAGGCUAUAUGAGCGCUCAAAAGCAACAAUGACAUCGUCAAUGCCAUCAUGGAGCUGACCAUGUAAACACCUAACAACCAUGAGAACCAGGUCCAGUCCAACCUUUUAAUAGACGUUGUCUGAAUUUAUAUCAAGGCUAGAAAUAAAGUUGUUGAAUAAGGAACCAGCAGCAUACCAACCUGCAUACCACUGUUGGCUUGCUUCUGAAGCUAAACAGGGUUGGUCCUGGUCAGUUCCUGGAUGGGAGACCAGAUGCUGCUGGAAGUGGUGUUGGAGGGCCAGUAGGAGGCACUC